GAUGAUGCUCUUGUUCUUGGAGAGGCCCAGCUUGCUUCCCUGGUCUGUGGCCAAGGCAAAAGUGGACAGGAAGGCCGGCCUCAGAGCGUGGACUGGGGCGUUGUCAUUGGCAACUGCAGGGACACAGCAAAAAUGUUAACAAAUACUCUCUGCACAGUGAUUGGCUGCUCUGCCUUUGUUCUGCCCACACCAUACGAGUCACAUAUUGUGUUAUAAAAUAUGCAUUAUAUACUGUAUGCAUGAUGUUUUCUUUUACUUCCCUUUAAGGCAAAUUAUAAACCUAUGUUCUGGAUUCAUAUUCAGUCAUUGUACCUGGGCAGACACGGGUUUGUAUGGCUUUCCAGUGGUGAGUCUGACCAAACCAGUGAUUUAUUAAUCGUACGACGUGAACAGAUGGGAGGACAGAUGCAGCGAGACUUUGCUGGACUGCUGAUGACAUUAAGUCACACAAUGGCUGUUAUUGAGAGAAGGGCAGAGACUGUGGAAACAGCAAACAGGAAGAAGGACGGAGAGUCCGUACUCACAUCAGCCAUGGCGGCCCGUGUUUUCUCGUGUCAGCAACUGUAGGAGAGGAAACAGCCAACAUGACACGUUCUCG